CAAACGGCCCUUUUCAGGGCCACCCUGUAUAUAAUUCACGUGUAA
rfam:Trachymyrmex zeteki contig5392, whole genome shotgun sequence.